rnacentral:snRNA from 1 species
AAGCAGAACUGGCGAUGCGGGA